UACGUAGGGGGCAAGCGUUGUCCGGAUUUACUGGGUGUAAAGGGCGUGCAGCCGGAGAGACAAGUCAGAUGUGAAAUCCACGGGCUCAACCCGUGAACUGCAUUUGAAACUGUUUCCCUUGAGUGUCGGAGAGGUAAUCGGAAUUCCUUGUGUAGCGGUGAAAUGCGUAGAUAUAAGGAAGAACACCAGUGGCGAAGGCGGAUUACUGGACGAUAACUGACGGUGAGGCGCGAAAGCGUGGGGAGCAAGCAGG
rnacentral:rRNA from 1 species